rnacentral:rRNA from 1 species
UGGGGAAUUUUGGACAAUGGGCGAAAGCCUGAUCCAGCAAUGCCGCGUGUGUGAAGAAGGCCUUCGGGUUGUAAAGCACUUUUGUCCGGAAAGAAAUCCUUGGCUCUAAUACAGUCGGGGGAUGACGGUACCGGAAGAAUAAGCACCGGCUAACUACGUGCCAGCAGCCGCGGUAAUACGUAGGGUGCAAGCGUUAAUCGGAAUUACUGGGCGUAAAGCGUGCGCAGGCGGUUUGCUAAGACCGAUGUGAAAUCCCCGGGCUCAACCUGGGAACUGCAUUGGUGACUGGCAGGCUAGAGUAUGGCAGAGGGGGGUAGAAUUCCACGUGUAGCAGUGAAAUGCGUAGAGAUGUGGAGGAAUACCGAUGGCGAAGGCAGCCCCUGGGCCAAUACUGACGCUCAUGCACGAAAGCGUGGGGAGCAAACAGGAUUAGAUACCCUGGUAGUCCACGCCCUAAACGAUGUCAACUAGUUGUUGGGGAUUCAUUUCCUUAGUAACGUAGCUAACGCGUGAAGUUGACCGCCUGGGGAGUACGGUCGCAAGAUUAAAACUCAAAUGAAUUGAC